ACGGGUGAGUAAUAUAUCGGAACGUACCCAAGAGUGGGGGAUAACGUAGCGAAAGUUACGCUAAUACCGCAUACGAUCUAAGGAUGAAAGCAGGGGAUCGCAAGACCUUGUGCUCCUGGAGCGGCCGAUAUCUGAUUAGCUAGUUGGUGGGGUAAAGGCCCACCAAGGCAACGAUCAGUAGCUGGUCUGAGAGGACGACCAGCCACACUGGAACUGAGACACGGUCCAGACUCCUACGGGAGGCAGCAGUGGGGAAUUUUGGACAAUGGGGGCAACCCUGAUCCAGCAAUGCCGCGUGAGUGAAGAAGGCCUUCGGGUUGUAAAGCUCUUUUGUCAGGGAAGAAAAGGCUGCGGCUAAUAUCCACAGCUGCUGACGGUACCUGAAGAAUAAGCACCGGCUAACUACGUGCCAGCAGCCGCGGUAAUACGUAGGGUGCAAGCGUUAAUCGGAAUUACUGGGCGUAAAGCGUGCGCAGGCGGUUUCGUAAGUCUGUCGUGAAAUCCCCGGGCUUAACCUGGGAAUGGCGAUGGAGACUGCGAGGCUAGAGUUUGGCAGAGGGGGGUAGAAUUCCACGUGUA
rnacentral:rRNA from 1 species